CAAAAAAACCUCCUACCAGAUGAUCGAUGCAUCAUGAAGUCUUGUUAAAAAUUUGGCGACUCUUCAUACAAGGAAAAAAAAAUCCUACAUGUAUUAAAAAGUAUUGUAGGGGGCGAGAAGAAAGAGCGACAUGGUGUGAAGGAAUCAUAUAGAAAAACAGAGUGCAAGCAUCUUGUUCGGGCAUCUCCUUGUCUCUUCGUUGGAGCCUUGGAAAAGCUUCCCCAGCCUCAAGUGCUUCUUCUAUCUAUCCAUCCACUGCAUGCAUAUAUACAAACCUUUGCCCAACUGAUGGAAACUUGGAAAGGCAGGCAUCUGGUUGUUCGUCAGGCUUGUUGCCAGUUUAACGGCACCAAGCAGUGCUCCAUAUCCUACUGAAGGUGUGGAGCACUUCAAAACAACAAAGAGUAGGGCUGAAAUGGGUCAUAGGAAGAGCAAUCACCACAAAGGAAGGGGCGAGGAACCGUACGAGAAGCAAAACCGGUGCCUGGUUCGAUCCUGCUGCCCCUGCUACGUGCUCGGCUCCGUCGUCAGAGGGAUUGGGAGGUGCCUCUUCGUGGCCUGCUACCCAAUGAUACAAUGCUGUGGCCUCGACGAAUGCAGGCACCACCACACCAGCCACCUCAGCCACUUCAGAUGAUGCAUACAUCCAUCAAGUACAUCUACUACUUCUACUUGGUCAUUUGUUCUUAUUUCCCCUUUGUUUUUUUCACCGAAAUUAGGGAUAUUAGCAAUUAAUCAAGCCAUGUUCCCAAGAAGAACUGUCGGUAUCUUAUACGAGUCCGUGUUGUUCUUCAUCCUUUUUCAGUAGUUUUCAGUAGAGAAGAAGAACUUGCCUUCAUUGUCCCAGCAUUUGAUAGAAGAGUAAUCCUGAAGAAAAUCGCCUGCUAAACCACUAUAGGUCUCCUGAAAGUUAUUCAUUAUUAAAGUGGUCGAUGCCAGUGUUUUCUGGUUGUUUGUUCUCUAAUGUGUCUGUCAGAAAAGUAGUUUCUUCCAAUUGAUGUUUUAGUGUCCCCUUAAUUUCUGGACUUGUUUACAUUUUUGUCUCUUGAUGCACUUGCUGGAGUAUCAAAUAGGAUUAGUUGUAAUGGUUUCUUUAGCUUAAAAAAAACAUGUCCUAGUCAACAAAAGUUCAUGCCUUGUGCAGUUGAGGAAUGUUGAGUACCUUUUCCUGGCUGUGAUGAGUGAAUUGUCAACCGUGCGGUGUGAUCGUGUGCUUUGUCUUUGGUUGCAGGUACACGGGCGUCGAGUGUCGAUGGAGAGCUGCCGUGGAGGUGCUGUGGCCGAUGAACCGUGCGGUGGAUGGCGGUGAAGGGCAGACGGGGCCGGAGCUCGGGCCGGGCGGCAGCUGUGGCGUCCACCCCUGGAUCGAUGGAGCAAGCACCGAUGGAUGGCGGGUUUCUUGGUUUGCGCCACAAAACCAAGUUGGCGGACAACGCUUGAAGACGCCAAGUCGUGGAGGCACGGGCGUCGGUCUCGGGACUGGCGGAGGAACGGGCGUCGACGGCGUCUAGGGCCUCGCUGCGGGCGAGGAGGUGACGGGCGUCGGGCGGCGUCUAGGGCCGUCAGAAGGCCGAGGCGGGAACGGCGUCCAGGGCCACGGCGUGGAGGCGGGAAUCUUCCCGCGCGUAGAGUUUUGGUGGUUUUAUCAAAACCGGCCACCUACCCGGGUUUCGCGGACCCUCCAAAACCGCAGACCGGAUCUUCAUCCCCACGGCGGCAUCGCGGAGAAGAUUUCGACUCGAAGAAAGAACCUUGAUCGUCGGAUGAGUCCUUGUAUCUCUUUCCGGUUUUGCCCCUACGGGCUUUCUAGUGUCUAGUUAAGUCUAAUGGUAGUUUAGUCUUUUAGUACUAGAGUUAGUGGGCUUAAAUAUCUCUCACCCACUCUCUCCUCUCUCUCUCUCCCAGUCCAGCCGCCUGCCCCUUACUCCCGUCGCCCACUCUCCCUCUCUUUGUUCCUCCCUCUUCCUCUCUCUCGGGUAGAAUUUCAUCCAUGGAUUCUUGAGACUUUGUACCAAGAUUGAUCGGGAAAGGAGGCCCUCUUCUCCUUGUGCCCUCGGGCUUUUGAAUUUGAAUCAAUCUUGAACUUUGAA